CAAUAUCCCUUGUGCAAUCAAGCGGUGAGACCUUAACUGCCCUAAAUGAGGGUUUAGGGUUUAUCUGAACUCUGAGGAAUUGUGGGGAAAACACACCCCAUCUGUAAAAAUAGGUCACAUGUUUCCAGUAUUACACGUUCCCAACAUUUGAUUAAAGAGUACAAGGGAUUGUUCGGUGGAGCGGUGUAGUGGUGAUUACUCUGUCUGCUGCGCUGUCUCAAAACCUGACGCGAGGCUUCCAGCACUAUGCUUCAAGCAUGACUUUGCAACAUACCAAGGGAAUCCAAUAUCGGUGACUCGGAUGAUCGAGUUGGAAUUCCUUCGUUCAUAUGCUUGUUUAUCAUCCGAAGCCUUCUGGUUGAUGGUCUUCGGUAUUUUAGUAAGUUUGUGAGGUUCGCAGGAAGAUGCUUCCGUGGCAAAUUCUGGGGCAUGGGUACUUGGAUUCCCUUGAUUGUCAAAGGUUUACGUACUUUUGGGCAGGUUGCUGAAUAAUCUACCGAGAGUUUGCAUCAUCAGAGUAGGAUUAUUUGCCGUGACAGAGGGACAGUGGAAGGUAGGAUCGAAGCUCGUGAGAGGGAAGUGAGUUUGUGAAACUCGAGAACAUUGCUUUCCGCUAAAGCCCACAUCGAUACUUCCAACGAAUUAGGUCAAGUACUUUCAAUUCUAAGCCCGUCAAUCAAACUUGAACAUUAAUUCGGUUUAUUUUGUACGAAUUGAUUGCCGAUGAGUGCAGCCGAUCAUCUCGCUGCCAUGACCUCCGCAUCAUACAUGGGGAGUGCCCCCAGUGAAGAUGGUGUCAAGCCGCCCAUCCAUGAAAGCAGCGCAAUCUUAUUGCUUCUGGGGUCGUUUCUUGCUGCCAUGUCUCCUCUUCUACUAGUACCUCUGUUUUUAACAGACUCCCAAGGCAGAAGAUGGAUUGGAGCGAAGAUUGGCCUCUGUAUCUUUGGAUUUGGAUUUACAACCAUCCUUGGUGUCCUCACAACAACCAACUGGCGUGUAGUGGCUCCUUAUGUUGGCAUGUCUCUUGAGGCCUUGCAGUCCGCCUUUAAUGUGGCAAAAGAGCUACCGGGAGAUUUGGCGGAGUGGCUAGAUUCAGGCAAAGGAUUUUAUCUUCUCAUCAAGACUUUCGUUGCAUUUGCUGUUGUAGCGCUGUUAUGCGGUAGUGCGUUCCCUAUGUUGCAGAGAAGGUUUAACUCUUUGAAAGUAAGGAUCAAAGGGACAGAUGCCAGUUUGGAGCCUCGAAGUGUAAAUGUAAAUUCCCAACUAUUGGAUUCUUCUUUUACCCAGUCGAAAUGCAGAGAGGGAGGAAAUAGCUGCUUCACGCUCAAGGCAGCAACUCGAGCUACAAGAAAAGGCACGUGAGAAGGACGAAUUGCUGCGGCAGCGACGGGUGGCACGAAUCGCCCAAGAAGAGCAAAGAUUACGAAGCUUUGGGAAAAACUUCGGCACAGGUGUUGGACGGUUUGCAAGAUGAUCGGUGACAUCGGGCAAUCUGCACAACUGUGCACUGAACUUCAUUGUCUUUCAUUUCCAGGUGAAGUUCACUGGGGAAAAGAGGUCGAGAUUGUCAAAGGCAAGUGUAGAAUUAGCUCUUAUAUAAAGCAUGAAACCUGGACGACUGGCUGUACAAUGACACAACACUGUAUCAUUUUCAUAAUCUAUAACAAUUGGACAAUAACUAGUGUUUUUGUUA